GUCCCUGUUACGCGAUGGUUUGCGUGUUGGACUUUUAAUCCAAAUGGCGUGGGUUCGAAUCCUACCUGGGAUG